GGAAAGGUGUUCAGGUGCGGAAGUUUAGAGAUAGCUGAAGGAAAUACAAAAAAAGGCAUCCACGGAGGUCAUCUACGGACCGUAAGUCCAUUCACGGUCCGUAGGUGAUGACCGUAGAUCAGCAGGAAUGUGUUGAGGAUAAAUCAGGGAAAUCUGACCAAGUGUGGAACCACGGUGACCAUUGACGGUCCGUAUAUUGAUCUACGGACCGUACUGUUGAUCCGUAGAGUGAGACUGCGAGGGUUCCAGUACCUGAUUUUUGAAGAUGCUAAGUAUGGAGCUACGGAAGGGAUUGACGGACCGUAGGUCGAUCUACGGUCCGUN
rnacentral:lncRNA from 1 species